GUCUUCUUGUUUUUUAUAUGAAGUCUGACCUGCCCAGUGAAUAAAUUUUAAACGGCCGCGGUAUUCUGACCGUGCAAAGGUAGCAUAAUCAUUAGUCUUUUAAUAGAAGGCUGGUAUGAAUGGUUUGACGAGGUGUUAACUGUCUCAUUUAAUUUUUUAUUAAAAUUUAACUUUUUAGUCAAAAGGCUAAAAUAUAUUUGGAAGACGAGAAGACCCUAUAGAGCUUUAUAAUAUUUUAAUUGAACAUAUUUUGAUUUAUUUAUUUGUUUAUUUUUUCUAUUAUUCUGUUGGGGUGACAAAAAUAUAUAAUUAACUUUUUUAUUUAUUUUACAUUGAUUAAUGAUUUAUUGGAUCCAUUAUUUAAUGAUUAUUAGACUAAGUUACCUUAGGGAUAACAGCGUAAUCUUCUUUCAGAGUUCAAAUUUACAAGAAGGCUUGCGACCUCGAUGUUGGAUUAAGAUUAUAAUUAGGUGCAGCCGCUUAAUUUAUAGGUCUGUUCGACCUUUAAUUUCUUACAUGAUCUGAGUUCAAACCGG
rnacentral:rRNA from 1 species